CCCUUAGAUGUUCUGGGCCGCACGCGCGCUACACUGUUCGACGCAGCGAGUCUUAACCUUGACCGAAAGGUUUGGGUAAUCUUCAGCAAAGUCGAACGUGAUGGGAAUCGAUCAUUACAAUUAUUGAUCGUGAACGAGGAAUUCCUAGUAAGUGCAAGUCAUCAGCUUGCGCUGAUUACGUCCCUGCCCUUUGUACACACCGCCCGUCGCUACUACCGAUUGAAUGGUUUAGUGAGAUCUCUGGAUUGACGCUGGCUAGGGGGCGACCCUUGGCCAGGCUGUCGAGAAACUGCUCAAACUUGAUCAUUUAGAGGAAGUAAAAGUCGUAACA
rnacentral:rRNA from 1 species